UACGAAGGGGGCUAGCGUUGCUCGGAAUUACUGGGCGUAAAGGGCGCGUAGGCGGCUCUGUGAGUCGGGCGUGAAAUUCCUGGGCUCAACCUGGGGACUGCGUUCGAUACGGCAGGGCUAGAGGACGGAAGAGGGUCGUGGAAUUCCCAGUGUAGAGGUGAAAUUCGUAGAUAUUGGGAAGAACACCGGUGGCGAAGGCGGCGACCUGGUCCGUAACUGACGCUGAGGCGCGACAGCGUGGGGAGCAAACAGG
rnacentral:rRNA from 1 species